rnacentral:tRNA from 1 species
GGGGGUAUAGCUCUGGGUAAAUGUCUGCUUAGCAUGUGUGAGGUCCUGGGUUCAAACCCCAGUACCUCCA